AUGGUGACCUUCCAAAAUAUACAUCCAGCCUUUGCGUUCUCUCUCCCUCUCCCAACAUGGCGGCCUCAGCAAAAAAAGAAGAAGAAGAAGGGGAAGACUAUCUCCCUGACAGACUUUCUGGCUGAGGAUGGGGGAAGUGGUGGAGGAAGCACCUAUGUACCCAAACCAGUCAGCUGGGCUGAUGAAACAGAUGACCUGAAAGGAGAUGUUUCAACCACUUGGCACAGUAAUGAUGAUGAUGGGUAUAGGGCACCGCCAAUUGACCGUUCCAUCCUUCCCACUGCUCCACGGGCUGCUCGGGAACCCAAUAUCGACCGGAGCCCUCUUCCCAAAUCGCCACCCUACACUGCUUUUCUAGGGAACCUGCCCUAGGAUGUGACAGAAGACUCGAUUAAGGAAUUCUUUAGAGGAUUAAAUAUCAGUGCAGUGCAUUUACCCCAUGAACCCAGCAAUCCAGAGAGGUUGAAAGGUUUUGGUUAUGCUGAGUUUGAGGACCUGGAUUCCCUUCUCAUGCUCUGAGUCUCAAUGAAGAGUCCCUAGGGAACAGGAGAAUUCGAGUGGAUGUUGCCCAUCAAGCACAGGAUAAAGACCGGGAUGAUUGCUCUUUUGGCCGGGAUAGAAAUCGGGAUUCCGACAAAACAUAUACAGACUGGAGAGCCCGUCCUACCACAGACAGCUUUGAUGACUACCCACCUAGAAAAGGUGAUGAUAGCUUUGGAGAUAAGUAUCGAGAUCGUUACAAUUCAGAUCGGUAUCAGGAUGGGUAUCAUGAUGGCUAUUGGGAUGGCCCACGCUGGGACAUGAAUCGAUAUGGGGGCCGGGAUUGAUACUAUGACCGAGGCAGCAGAGACUACGAUAGAGACUAUGAUUUCAGGACAGGCAGUGACAGAAGGGCAUUUGGUAGUGGGUACCGUGGAGACGAUGACUACAGGGGAGGCGGGGACCACUACGAAGACUGUUAUGACAGACGUGAUGAUAGAUCAUGGAGCUCCAGCAAUGAUUACUCUCGAGAUGAUUAUAGGCGUGAUGAUAGAGGUCCCCCCAAAGACCCAAACUGAAUCUAAAGCCUCGGAGUCUUCCUAAGGAAGAUGAUUCCUCUGCUAGCACCUCCCAGUCCAGUCGAGCAGCUUCUAUCUUUGGAGGAGCAAAGCCCAUUGACACAGCUGCUAGAGAAAGAGAAGUAGAAGAGCGACUACAGAAGGAACAAGAAAAAUUGCAACAUCAGCUGGAUGAGCCAAAACUGAAAUGAUGACCUUGGGAGAGACACCCAAGCUGGAGAAGUGAAGAAACUCAGGAACAGGACCAGUCAAGGACAGGAAGUGAGUCAUCGCAGACUGGGACCUCAGCCAUAUCUGGCAGAAAUGUGCAAAGAAGAGAGAAUGAAAGUCUCUAGAAAAUGAAACACUUAAUAAGGAGGAAGACUGUCACUCUCCAACUUCUAAGCCACCCAUACCGGGGGAGGUGAAGUAA